rnacentral:rRNA from 1 species
UAAUAGCGUAUAUUAAAGUUGUUGCAGUUAAAAAGCUCGUAGUCGGAUGUCGGGCUCGGGGAGGCUGUCGGCCUUCGGUCGGACGGCAUGUCCGGGCCUUUCUGCCUGGGGAUCCUACUCUACUUAACUGUAGGGUAGCGGGACGCAGGCCGUUUACUUUGAAAAAAUUAGAGUGUUCAAAGCAGGCCUACGCUUGAAUACAUUAGCAUGGAAUAAUGGAAUAGGACUUUGGUCUUAUUUGUUGGUUUAUGGGACCGAAGUAAUGAUUAACAGGGACAGUUGGGGCCGUUUAUAUUUCGUUGUCAGAGGUGAAAUUCUUGGAUUUACGAAAGAUAAACUUCUGCGAAAGCAUUCGGCAAGGAUGUUUNCAUUGA